UACGUAGGUGGCAAGCGUUGUCCGGAAUUAUUGGGCGUAAAGCGCGCGCAGGUGGUUUCUUAAGUCUGAUGUGAAAGCCCACGGCUCAACCGUGGAGGGUCAUUGGAAACUGGGGAACUUGAGUGCAGAAGAGGAAAGUGGAAUUCCACGUGUAGCGGUGAAAUGCGUAGAGAUGUGGAGGAACACCAAAGGCGAAGGCAGUGUCCUGGGGAGUACCUGACGCUCAGGUGCGAAAGCCAGGGGAGCGAACGGG
rnacentral:rRNA from 1 species